AUACAUGCAAGUCGAACGAACUUCCGUUAAUUGAUUAUGACGUACUUGUACUGAUUGAGAUUUUAACACGAAGUGAGUGGCGAACGGGUGAGUAACACGUGGGUAACCUGCCCAGAAGUAGGGGAUAACACCUGGAAACAGAUGCUAAUACCGUAUAACAGAGAAAACCGCAUGGUUUUCUUUUAAAAGAUGGCUCUGCUAUCACUUCUGGAUGGACCCGCGGCGUAUUAGCUAGUUGGUGAGGUAAAGGCUCACCAAGGCAGUGAUACGUAGCCGACCUGAGAGGGUAAUCGGCCACAUUGGGACUGAGACACGGCCCAGACUCCUACGGGAGGCAGCAGUAGGGAAUCUUCCACAAUGGACGCAAGUCUGAUGGAGCAACGCCGCGUGAGUGAAGAAGGGUUUCGGCUCGUAAAGCUCUGUUGUUAAAGAAGAACGUGGGUAAGAGUAACUGUUUACCCAGUGACGGUAUUUAACCAGAAAGCCACGGCUAACUACGUGCCAGCAGCCGCGGUAAUACGUAGGUGGCAAGCGUUAUCCGGAUUUAUUGGGCGUAAAGCGAGCGCAGGCGGUCUUUUAAGUCUAAUGUGAAAGCCUUCGGCUCAACCGAAGAAGUGCAUUGGAAACUGGGAGACUUGAGUGCAGAAGAGGACAGUGGAACUCCAUGUGUAGCGGUGAAAUGCGUAGAUAUAUGGAAGAACACCAGUGGCGAAGGCGGCUGUCUGGUCUGCAA
rnacentral:rRNA from 1 species